UUAAACCCAAGUCUCUUCUUUCAUUCCUGUCUCCGUCUCCCCAUCUUCCAUCUUCCUUCUUCUCCUUAACGAUUCUAGGGUUCCACCGGAAGAUAGCCAGCAGAUUUUGGACCAAAGAUCGCCGGCGGCGGGGCGCUAACCUGCUAUUUCUUUACACAUACCUUCCAUCUCCAUCCAAUAAGGUAAAUUUUCAAAUUUUCUUAAGAUUUCUUGUCGGGUCCGAUUGAAAUUGGAAGAAUCAGACCCGUAUUCCGUACCGGUACCCGUGUCGUGUCGUGUCGACACGGGUACUUCGGCCGAAAUGAAGAGUCCGAGCAUCUAAGGCGAGGACCCAUUGACUGGUAACUUUGAUUUGCUUAGAAUAGUCAAGAAUACCUUUCCAAAGCUAUACACAUCAACACAAGUUCUCCACAAGUAACCUUUUGCGUUCAAAAUGCACAUUCCACCUAAUAUUGUCCUCAAUGGUUGAAGAAGUUUAUAUUGUCGUAUUUUUUUAGUUAAAAAUGAUGAAUUGAAAUUUUUUUUUUUAAAAAUGAUUAAUUUUAUUGUUUGAAUAUUUUAUUAAACUAGAAUAUGAUUGGUGUAAAAAUAAUUACAUUAUUAGUCCACUCAUAUCCAUUUCCCAAACUCCAAUUAAAUCCAUGUAUAUCCAAUAUCAAUAUUAUUAGCCCAAUAAAAAUGGCCCAACCUCCAAUUAAAUCCAUCCACAUCCAUAUUAUUAACCCAACCCACUUCCAUAUCAUUAGCUCCAAUCAAAAUGGCCCAACUCCAAUUAAACCCAAGUCUCUUCUUUCAUUCCUGUCUCCGUCUCCCCAUCUUCCAUCUUCCUUCUCAUAACAGUACAGACAUACAUACAUACAUAUAUAUAUAUGUGUGCGUGUGUGUGUGUGUGUGUGUGUGGAGAGAGAGAGUUAAACAAUCAUAAAUAUUUUCUUUUGUUUGAAGGGGAAGUCAGGUUAAGAUGAAAAAGGAGAAUAUGACAGCAAGACUCUGUAGAACCUAUGAUGCAAACUAAGUCAUGAUGUACAAGACCCAAUAAGGUAAAUUUUCAAUUUUUCUUAAGAUUUUUUGCCGGGUCCGAUUGAAAUUGGAAGAAUCGGACCCGUAUUCCGUACCGGUACCCGUGUCG
rnacentral:lncRNA from 1 species